rnacentral:RNase_P_RNA from 1 species
CUGUAUUUAUUUACAGAGGAAAGUCCGGGCAGCAAAGAGUGCCAUACCUUAUGAAAGUAAGGGUGUUGCUUAAAUAGCAGCAACAGAGAGUGCUACAGAAAAUUAAACUUCCACAUUGCUUUGGCCAUGUGGUAAAGGUGAAAUGGUGGGGUAAGAGCCUACCGCUCUGAGGGUAACCAAGGAGGCAAAGAAAACCUUAUGGGCUGCAAGGUCAAAUAAACCAGCCAUAGAGUUACUCGCUCUGCUGGAGGGUAGACUGCUUAGAUAAAUGAUAGAAUGCCUUUGGGCAACAGAACCCGGCUUACAGAUUUACUUU